CCGUCCCUAGAGCAAGUGGCAAAGGGCUUGGUGGUUAGUACCCGAGACCCAAGUUCGAAUCCUAGUUAAUUCACAUUUCCAGCUAAAUUUAUUUCUAAAUGAAAUAAACGAAGCGGGUAGUGCGCGUGCUAUCUAUCUCUCAAAAAAAAAAAAAAUUCAAAUCGAGGAUAGCUUCUAGCUAGAAAACUUAAUUUAAACCGAAUCCCAAAUGCAAGUGCUAUUCCGAAUUCAAUGGUUUCAAUAAAUUUCCUACAGUCACUAUAACAGAAUUAGGUUAUAGGAACACAUGUUUGGGACACUUUUGAGUAAGUGUCUCAUUUAUACUAAAACUUAAAAACACAUCUACUAAUGCCUAAAUAUAAAGCUCAAUCCAACCAAAAAUAAAAGGUUACUCUACUUAACCCACCACACCCAGUCCAUUUGGCCCGAUUACAAACAGAAAAGAAAAAAAAAAAGAAAAAUCAAUUACCAUCUUUUCUUCUCUCUUCACUCAAUCCACUGAAAUUCUAGACGAAGAGUCUUUACUGUCGUCCUUCUCCACCACCGCAGUCAACGAGAUAGAGUUUCGGCGGUUGCUAAAUACUUAAAUAAGUGUUGGUAAAUUAGCAGCACUCUUUUAGGUUAUAGCGACACUCUUUAACUGUCACUAUAUACCUAGCGACCCCACAUAUAGCAACAUUUUUUAAAAGUGUCGAUAAUUUUAGUUAGCAGCACUUUUUUGACAUGUACCUAUAUUUAAAAGUGUUGCUAUAGAUCGUUUUUAUUGUAGUGAGUAGUUUGCUGGGAAAGAUCAAAGAA
rnacentral:lncRNA from 1 species